rnacentral:rRNA from 1 species
AAACUAAGUGAUCUAAUUAUGGUUAAGUUGAAUAUAUUAUAAAAAAUAUGGGAAGACUGUACUCAUGUAUGUGGAAAAAUACUGGGAUAAACUGUGAUUAGGGGUGAAAGGCUAAUCAAACUUAGAGAUAGCUGGUUUUUUGCGAAAUUUAUGUGCGUAAAGUGUUAUAUAGUUAAUAAUUAUUAAGGGUAGAGCACUUAUUAAUCUUUGGGGGAGGUAAUGCUCUUACCAAAAUUAUAGAAACUCCGAAUAUUAAUAAUUUAAAUAUAAUAAACAGACUGUAGGAGCUAAGUUCUAUGGUCAAAAGGGAAAUAGCCCAGAUUAACAGCUAAGGUCUUAAAUUAUUUAUUAAGUAUAACAAAAGUGAAUAAAAAUGAAAAUUUUUGGGAGGUAGGCUUAGAAGCAGCAAUCCUAUAAUGAAAGCGUAAAAGCUCACCAAUUUAAAUUAAUUUAUUUGCUGAAAAUGUAAGAGAUUUGAAUAAAUAACCGAAGCUUUAAAUAUAUUAUAAAAAUAUAUGGUAGCAAAAUGUUUUGUUUUUUUAUAAAAUUUUAUUGUAAAAUAAAAUAGAGAAAUCAAAAUUAAGAAUACUAAUAUUAGUAACGAUAAAUAGAAUAUAUAAGAAUCUAUCACUGAAAAUUUAAGGUUUUCUCUGUUCUGUUAAUCUACAGAGAGUUAAGAGCGGUCUCUAAGGUAAUUUUUGUAAAAAAAUAUUGAUGAGUUUUUUAAUUAAUAAUUUAAAAAAUUUACUUUAAAAUUAUAAUUUUUAUUUGACAAUAUUUAUAACCUAAUUUUUAAUGUAAUAAAAUUAAUUUUAUAGUAUAAAUAUGCAGGAAAUAAAAUAAAAAUUUAAUAAAGUAAUUAACCGUACUAAAACCGACACAGGUGGAUUAGUAGAGUAUACUAAAGUGCUUAAGAGAACAAUACUGAAGGAACUCGGCAAAAUAACUCUGUAACUUUGGGAGAAAGAGUAUCAUCGGGAACGAUGAUGUUACAUAACAGGGGAUGGCGACUGUUUAUUAAAAACACAGGACUCUGCAAAAUUUUAAAAUGAUGUAUAGGGUCUGAUGCCUGCCCGGUGCUGUGAAGUGAAAAGGAGAGGUUUAAAAAGCUUCAAAUAUAAACAACAGUAAACGGCAGCUGUAAACUUAACGGUUCUAAGGUAGCGAAAUUCCUUGUCGGCUAAUUACUGACGUGCAUGAAUGGUUUAACGACUGUCCCACUGUCUCCAGUAUUGACUUAGUGAAGUUGAAUUUUCCGUGAAGAUGCGGUGUUAUAAUGGCUAGACGGAAAGACCCCGUGCACCUUUACUACAAUUAUACAUUAAUAUUUUUAUUUUAAGUAUGUAGAAUAAAUAAGAGCUUAUGAUUAUUUUACGUUAGUAAAACUAGGAGGCAUUCCUGAAAUAUUAUUUAUUUAAAAUUAGAUAUUUAACUUUAAUAAAGAACAUUGUAUGAGUGGUAGUUUGACUGGGGUGGUCACCUUCUAAAGUGUAACGAAGGUGUGCAAAGGUAAACUCUAAUUAAUAUUUUUGUAUUAAUUUAUUGAGUAUAAUGGCAUAAGUUUGCUUAACUGGUUAAUAGACAUAUUAAACAGAAACGUAAGUUGGUCAUAGUGAUCCGAUAAUACUAAAUGGAAAGGUUAUCGCUUAACGGAUAAAAGGUACGCCGGGGAUAACAGGCUAAUGACUUUCGAGAGUUCAUAUCGACGAAGUUGUUUGGCACCUCUAUGUCGAUUCAUCACAUCCUGGAGCUGAAAGAGGUUCCAAGGGUUCGGUUGUUCGCCGAUUAAAGUGGUACGUGAAUUGGGUUUAGAACGUCGUGAGACAGUUUGGUCCCUAUCUACCAUUAUAAAACUAUUAAAAAUUAAAAUACUAAUUCUUGUACGAGAGGACCGAAUUGGUUAUACCACUGGUGUUUGGAUUGUUUAUGUAAAGCAUUGUCCAGUAGCUACGUAUAAAAAAUCUAAUUACUGAAACCAUAUAAGUAAGAAGGUUAGUUUAAUUUUUAAUUAAAAUAUAUUUAAGAUAAAAAUAUUGUUAGGUUAAGAUUAAAAGUAUAGUAAUAUAUUUAGUGUUAUUAAUACUAAAUUUAAAACAUUUAAAUU